rnacentral:rRNA from 1 species
UUGACAAUGGGCGCAAGCCUGAUCCAGCCAUACCGCGUGGGUGAAGAAGGCCUUCGGGUUGUAAAGCCCUUUUGUUGGGAAAGAAAAGCAAUCGGUUAAUACCCGGUUGUUCUGACGGUACCCAAAGAAUAAGCACCGGCUAACUUCGUGCCAGCAGCCGCGGUAAUACGAAGGGUGCAAGCGUUACUCGGAAUUACUGGGCGUAAAGCGUGCGUAGGUGGUGGUUUAAGUCCGUUGUGAAAGCCCUGGGCUCAACCUGGGAAUUGCAGUGGAUACUGGAUCACUAGAGUGUGGUAGAGGGAUGCGGAAUUUCCGGUGUAGCAGUGAAAUGCGUAGAGAUCGGAAGGAACAUCUGUGGCGAAGGCGGCAUCCUGGGCCAACACUGACACUGAGGCACGAAAGCGUGGGAGC